GUCCCCUUCGUCUAGUGGCCCAGGACACCGCCCUUUCACGGCGGUAACAGGGGUUCGACUCCCCUAGGGGACGCCA
rnacentral:tRNA from 32 species